UACGUAGGGGGCAAGCGUUAUCCGGAUUUACUGGGUGUAAAGGGAGCGCAGACGGCUUUGCAAGUCUGAAGUGAAACCCCACGGCUCAACCGUGGGCUUGCUUCGGAAACUGUAGAGCUAGAGUACUGGAGAGGUAAGCGGAAUUCCUAGUGUAGCGGCGAAAUGCGUAGAUAUUAGGAGGAACAUCGGUGGCGAAGGCGGCUUACUGGACUGUAACUGACGUUGAGGCUCGAAGGCGUGGGGAGCAAAC
rnacentral:rRNA from 1 species